AUUGAACGCUGGCGGCAGGCCUAACACCUGCCAGUCGAGCGAGCGGCGGACGGGUGCGUAAUGUAUGGGGACUGCCUGAUAGAGGGGGAUAACUACUGGAAACGGUGGCUAAUAACGCAUACUCUCGUAUCACCCAUAUGGGAUUAGCUAGUAGGUGGGGUACAGGCUCACCUAGGCGACGAUCUCUAGCUGGUCUGAGAGGAUGAGCAGCCACACUGGGACUGAGACACGGCCCAGACUCCUACGGAGGCAGCAGUGGGGAAUAUUGCACAAUGGGCUCAAGCCUGAUGCAGCCAUGCCGCGUGUAUGAAGAAGGCCUUAGGGUUGUAAAGUACUUUCAGCUGGGAGGCGUUACCCGCAGAAGAAGCACCGGCUAACUCCGUGCCAGCCGCCGCGGUAAUAC
rnacentral:rRNA from 1 species